UCGAGUUUUCUCGCUUCGGUGUUCGCUGCUCUGCGUUUUCGAAAACCCUAAUCAAUCCUUUUUCUCAUUCUCAGAUUGGGAUUUUGUUAAGGAUACUGAUUUUUCGGCGGCGGAAUUCUUUUUGGUAAAACUCGAAUACUCAAAAGAAGGUUUUGUUGUUUAAAGUAAAGUUUGGAGGUUUGGGUCUGAUGAGAAUUGUUAGGGGAAUGCAGAGAUCGUUUUGCGAGGAGCUGAAGGCGCUGUGCUGGAAGGACUCGUUCAGCAAAGGGAUUGGCAUCACUGCCCCAAAGGCUAGAACCCGCAACAAACCUAUGAAUUCUACAAGGGUUUACGCUCUCUAAAACUCUUAACUCGAGCUAGUUUUCACUGCGAAAGUGCCAAAGUUUUUGGCCUUACGAUGACUCGUAUCUUGGUUCAAAGGGGUUCAUCUGGCGGUUCUUCUUCGAACCCUAACUCGGGCCGUUCUUCUGGGCCUUCUUCAUCUGCGCGGGCUGAGCCGCAGGUUUUGGCUCCACCGGCUUUGAGAGAUGAGGAGAGUGCAGAGGAGGUGCUGGGAGUGGUUGUUGGGGAUGAACUUUUGGAGAGUGGUGAGUGUAAUAAGGUAAAGAGUGAGGACCUUUUGAUGGUUGGUGGUCGUCAUUUUGAGCAGCAGAACGAUGGUUCGUGUGAUGAUGAGGUAGCUGUUGUGGAGAAUGAUAUUAAGGAGGAGUUUGGGUGUCCGCGGGAGUUAGUGAAAGGAUUGAGUGGAGUGAGAGUUUCUGAAAGAUUUGUUUCAGAAAAUGAGGGCUCAAGUGGGUUUCCUUCUUCUCUCCCUGGUAGUGGUGGUAGUUCAUGUCCGCCUCCUCCUCCUGUUCCGCCUCCAAAGCCUUCUGCUGCUAACCUGAAUUUGAGGAGGAAUGUGUCAGGGACUUCGUAUUCUGGAUCUGUAGGAUCAUCUGGGAGAGCAUCUGCAUGGCCUGCUGUUUCGACUAGGACCUCGCCUGCUGGGUCUCGGCCUUCUUCUCCCAGGUCUCAUAAUGAAAGUGAGGGGUACAAUAGUGCUGAUGAACAGAAGCCAUGCUAUGUUUCCUCAUACGAUGAAUUUGAAAGAGAGCGGCAGUUUGAAACUGAUAUCAGAAGGGCAAAAGGUUAUGAAGUAAAAAGAAUGAUGGGGGAUGGAAAUUGUCUUUUCCGUGCUGUUGCAGAUCAGGUGUAUGGGGAUUCUGAAUUGUAUGAUUUGGUCAGACAAAUGUGCAUAGAUUAUAUGGAGCAAGAAAGAGAUCACUUUUCUCAAUUUAUAACUGAAGGCUUCACAUCAUACUGUAAGAGAAAAAGAAGAGAUAAGGUCUAUGGAAACAAUGUUGAGAUCCAAGCCAUGUGUGAAAUGUAUAAUCGCCCCAUUCAUAUGUACUCCUACACUACAGAACCUAUCAAUAUCUUUCACGGAAGCUACAACACUGACACACCACCAAUUCGACUGAGUUAUCAUGAUGGGAAUCAUUACAACUCCCUUGUGGACCCACGGCGCUUGACAAUUGGUGCUGGACUUGGGUUCAGCACUCUUCGUGGAACAAAUGUUGACAAAGAUCAAGUCAAGGCUGCUAUUAAAGCUCAACAAGACCAGCUGAUCAAUAAUGCACUUUUAGCUGAGGGACGAUUUUACUCUGAUCUUGAGCUUACAGAGAAGGAAAUUGAACGCAUGGUGAUGGAAGUUUCUCGAGCUGAGUAUGUUGCAGAUGGUACAUUUAAGCAGCAGCUUGGCCAUAGAGAGUCCUCUACCUCAAAUGCUGAACCAUCAUCUUCUGGAGCAAGUGAGUGUCUCGCUCUCAUACUCGGGCUAUUUGCUUAAAAAAAUUGUAUAUUACAUCAGUGUCAAGACCUGAAAGUAUGAAAUUGAGUAAAACUUGAUCAUUCUGAUAUUUGUCUAGCCUGUUUUAUUCCAAGUUUUUCCCAAGGUGGCGUUUGGCACAAGGAAAAAUUUUGGAUUACCAGAAAACUAAGAUUGGUAAUCUUAUUUAUCCACGUUUAGUACAAGGAUUGUGAAUUUUUUUUCGAGAAUCUGAUUUUCCAUUAUUUUAAUUUCUGAACAAUUUUUAAGCCAGAAUGCUAUCCAAGAAUAUCACGCUUGGAUUCCCACUAUUUUUGACCUCCGCGCUAGUGGCGCGGCGAUGUCGCCACUAGCGCCAAGUCCAUAUUCCUGCCUUCUUCCCACGCUAGUGGCGUGGUGGUGGGGAGGCUAGCGCCAAGUCCAUUUUGUUGUUUUUUUGUUCCCUUCUUCCCGCGCUAGUGGCAUGCCAGCAAUGCAGUUGGGGUAAUUCACUUUUCCAGCAUUCCUGGCAUAAAAGAAUUUCUCCUUUACGUAAUGCCCCGUGAGAGAAAAAAAAUCAUCCGUGACUAUAUUUGUGUAUUCUGCAAUAUAUAGCUAACUAUGUAUUAAUAAGAGCAGCAGGAUCAUCUGGCACAGCUGGCAAGAAGGAGCAUGGGAAAGAGCAUGGUUCUGAUCUUAGCAGCAGUAUGCAGAUGCUACUAUCAAUGGGAUUUAGUUACAUCCAAGCGAUUGAGGCAUACAGCAUAUUUGGGGAUGAUG